rnacentral:lncRNA from 1 species
GUACCGAAAGCAAUACUUCCAUCAUAGCUGUGCUUUUGUUUAAUUACAACAAGUUAGAUAAUAUUUUUUGACGAAUUUGAAAGGAAAUGUUUAAGCAGGGUUCUCUGAUGGUGUGGUAAUUAAAACAAUGAUUUCUGCACCAAAUAUUUGGACAUUCAGUCCUUGCUGUGUACUGAUGAACUCGAGUUCAGCGUGUUUCUGUAGCAGGUACAGGACUGUGAGCUGACCUCGUACAAGUGCGAGGCGACGCAGGACACUACGGGAGGGAAGGCCCAGAGAACUCUUCCCUCCGCUUCCACCGUGACCACAGAGCAGCUCGGCUCCCACGUCCGAGUUUCCCUGGCUUGAGGCAGGCAGUAGCAGGUCCGCUCCGCGCUCUGUGCGCAAGGGAGAAGCGAGAGAGAGGAGCAGGUAGGAAAAGCAGAAGAGCAAAGCGCCACGAGGCAGUGCUUCGCCUCAGCACCCCGACUGCAGAAGCCUGAGCAGGACGCGCCGUGUCCUGCCCGCUGCUGCUGGGCCCCCUUCUGCCAUGGCACAGGGGGCUGUCGGGGCUGCUGCCCCUGCUGCCCCGGGAGGGUGCCUUGCCAGAGGUACUGGUGGUAGUUCGGUGCAGGUCUGAAAAUGCGCUUAAACCGAGGCCCAAAUAAAUAACCCCUUUUUUCACUUGUCUGCAUGGGAAAUAAGUAAGGUGAUGUACGAUGGAGAGAUUGUAAUUUGUUAAAGUGGAAAAACUUGCUGAGCUAAGCCCCUGAAUUGCAAUGUGUUCGCUGUUGGUAGGAGGGUACAGGUGGCCGAGAUGGUGGCAGACGACCUUGUCAGUAAAAUGCGGUACAGGUGCUGCCUCUGCAUUUCAGUGAUGCGGCAGGAUCUACCCACUUGGGGUAGCUUUUCAGUAGGUUUGACUGGGGAAAACGCUCUGUUGAUGUGUAGAAAAAUCUGACUGUGCUAUUUUGGAAGACAAAGUAGGAAAGGGUUCUGAUGCGGAGGCGCACGUGUGCAGGGCAGUGGGGCUGCACCCGACGGGCUGCGGUGCGGAGCACGCUGGGUGGUGGCACGGGAGCGCCGCUCAGCAUCCUGCUGGCGGCCUUGCUGAAGAGACACACAGCAGCAUCUUUGUGGGAGGGCAGCAACCCAGGAGACGACAUCACGGUGACACACCGCGGGACUCUUCAUGCGAGCCAAUGAUGUCUUUCUAGUUGCUUCUCCCCUAAAGAAAAGUUUGUAUUUAUGACUAUGCCUCCCUCCCCCCUCUGCC